AGCUUUGGAGCUGGGAUUAGAACAGUUCUUCAGACCUCACUGUCCUGGGCUGGUCUCCCAAGAGGAAGUGGGCAGGUCACUGAGGGAGGGAAGCCAUCAAGGCCAUCAGAGCAAAUACAUAGAGGUCAGCUGAAGGUGUCCCAGAGUGCUGGAUUACAGUGUGUGUCUCCAUGCCUGGGGACACACGCUGUAACGUAUGUGGUGCUGGGGACCAAACCCAUGUCUCUGUGCAUCUGAGGUGUUUGAAUCAUCUUCUGGCAGCUAUGGGGUAUGGUCCUUGCCCUCCCACCCCUGUGGAAGACUAAGGAUUUGCCCACCUCUAGUCCCAGAUAAGAAAGAUACACUCUCCCCACCUAGGUGUCAAACCAGCUGUAUGCCCCUUCAAGCCAACCAUGCUCUCCAUCAAGCCCUGGAUGGGAGGACUCUGGGGACGGCUGGCCCAGUUCUCUGGCCCUUUUCCAAGCUGACAAUCCCCAUCAAGACCCCCAAGGGUGGGCAGUAACUUACCUGUGGGGAUUACAGAUGAGCAACCAAGAGCAAGCUUAGGUUUCCCGGUCACUAUGGAUUCUCUGUGUAGAAAUGUGGCUUAUGCAGUGCCACAGGCAAUGUGAACUGCGAAGGCCAGGCUCAAAUGAAUGACCCAAGCUCAAGACCUCUGUGAGUGCCUUGGGUUCAGGCCCGGCCUCUGUGUUCUCUGGGUCUCCAUGUCCCGUUAUGAAACAAAGGCCUCAAUCAAUCUGGGUUUCGGGUGAAUAUGAAGGCUGCUUCUUAGCUGGCUGUCUGGGGCCUCCCUUCUUUGAGCCAGGUUGUGCAAUAACUGCUGUGACCCUAGCUAUAUGGGAGAGCCUCCAGUGCCCAUUGCUGCCCCCUUCCCUAGAGACAGCUCCUAGUCCAGUUGUCUGCAAGUCAUCCCUCACAGAGUCCCAUCCAUAUCUCACCCUGCUCUGACCCUGUGCCUUUAGGCAGGCAACACCUAGCUCCCUGAGACAGGGCUGAAUAGAGGUCAUGGCUUCCUAGCUGCCCCUCUCUUGAGAGCACUGCCCACUAAGCUAUCCUCAUAGGUAUUUCAAUCUCACUUCUGCUUCUAGACUUCUAGGCCCAGGUAAGAACCCUUGUGUGUAUAUGUGUGUGUAUGCAUGGGUAUGUGUGUCUGUAUGUGUGUAUAUGUAUGUAUGUGUGUGUAUGUUUGUGUAUGUGUGUAUGUAUAUGUAUGUGUAUGUGUAUGUGUAUAUGUAUGUUUGUAUAUGUGUGUGUAUGUGUGUGUGUGUGGUGGGGGGUUAACGGCAGAGGCCAGACACUUUGACAGCAAAGAACUUGGGGGACACCAAGUCUUGGGUCUUCGCUGGCAUGGAGAAAGGCCUGUCUGUUGGAGGCAGCUGGCCUGACCCACCCUAGGGCAGCUGGGCUGGGGAGUUGGGGAGGCAGCCUUCCUGACUCCCUUCUUCCCCUUUCCUGCUCUUAACUUCCCUCCCUCCGGCCACCGUGCCUCCCACCAGCAUGGGUGGAGCAAUAUCUAGCACAAAGGCAGGGGUACAAUGGGGCCAUUUCGGGUACUGGCACUGGUAAAAUUGGGGAAGGAACUCUUGUUAGGACAGGGGACUUCUUGGGGUCCCUUACAUCACCAUGUCACUUAUUCCCUGCCCUGAUCUCCUCAAGAGAAUGGAAAGUCUUUGACACCGAGCUGUUCAGAUUCCUACCCCGCCCCACCACCGCCUGCCUGAACCUCAUGGGGUCUGAGCACAUCCCCUGGGCACUGAGGAAGGAAAACUGAAAGAGGCAGGGGCACCAACCAAGAGAACUGAAGCCUGUGAAGAGGAAGUGAGUGCUGCUCUGACCCUCUAACCCAUCCUUCGGUCAGGCCUGCCUGCAUCAGCAACUCAAGCCAUUGCAGCUGCUCACUUGCAUGCCUCAGCCAUACUUCUCGAGCCUGGCUUGUGAGGACACUGUAGGGACAGGAGCUGCAGCACCAGCAAGCAGAUGCGCUGGUUAUGGCUGCUCUGAUAAGCUUGGUGUCGACAGCAGAAGGAAGGUUGCCUUGCAGAUCCAGCAGCCUGAUCCUGAGAGCUGUGGCCACUGUACUGUCCAGUGUAGACACCAUACCUUCCUUCCACUGCUGUCUAGGAAAGCCUGGGUUGUCUGGGUUCCAGGAAGGGGACAGGACAUGUUUAAACAGGGUGACUUUAGGGUUUGGGAAAGCCCCCUGGCCCAGGCACAGGUGAAGAGAGGGACAGGAGGCAAUAUCAAUUGUCUGGGGGCAGCUUAGCAAUGUGUAAUGAAAUAUGUAACUUUCUGACAACAGGAGUCAGUUGCUUCUGGGAACUGACACUAGGGAAACGAUAGUGAGUUCAUGCAAGGUGUGUGCAUGAGAACACUCUAUCUCCACCUUGUUUAAGGCUGAUACCACUCCGUGAGAGACUGGAACAGUCACACAAUGGAGACUUGUACGCUGCUCACACAGUGGUGGAAUUAUCAAUAAAGCUGCCAAGAAUGUUCUGGCACACGUCCUUCGGCUGACAUAAACUGCCUUUCUCUUGGGUAUAGAUGGAACUGCUGGGUUCAAAGGAUUGUGUAUGUUCAUUUUGAGUGGAUGCUGCAAAACGAUGAUUGCUCCAUUGCGCACACCCACACCCAGUUAAUGAGAGCACCAGUUGCUACAUCCUUGCCAACACUUAGUAUUGUCAACCUGUUUCGUCUCAGCUCUUCUGGUGACUAGGGAGAGGAAUUGCGUUGUGGUUUUAAUCUGCAUUUCUAAAUAUGCG
rnacentral:lncRNA from 1 species